UACGGGAGGCAGCAGUAGGGAAUCUUCCACAAUGGACGCAAGUCUGAUGGAGCAACGCCGCGUGAGUGAAGAAGGUUUUCGGCUCGUAAAGCUCUGUUGUUGGUGAAGAAGGACAGGGGUAGUAACUGACCUUUGUUUGACGGUAAUCAAUUAGAAAGUCACGGCUAACUACGUGCCAGCAGCCGCGGUAAUACGUAGGUGGCAAGCGUUGUCCGGAUUUAUUGGGCGUAAAGCGAGUGCACGGCGGCUUGAUAAGUUUGAUGUGAAAGCCUUCGGCUCAACCGGAGAAUUGCAUCAGAAACUGUCGAGCUUGAGUACAGAAGAGGAGAGUGGAACUCCAUGUGUAGCGGUGAAAUGCGUAGAUAUAUGGAAGAACACCGGUGGCGAAGGCGGCUCUCUGGUCUGUUACUGACGCUGAGGCUCGAAAGCAUGGGUAGCGAACAGGAUUAGAUACCCUGGUAGUCCAUGCCGUAAACGAUGAGUGCUAAGUGUUGGGAGGUUUCCGCCUCUCAGUGCUGCAGCUAACGCAUUAAGCACUCCGCCUGG
rnacentral:rRNA from 1 species